rnacentral:rRNA from 1 species
UUGAUCCUGGCUCAGAAUCAACGCUGGCGGCGUGCCUAACACAUGCAAGUCGAACGAGAAAGUGGAGCAAUCCAUGAGUACAGUGGCGUACGGGUGAGUUACACGUGACUACCUACCCUCGAGUGGGGAAUAACCUCGGGAAACCGGGGUUAAUACCGCAUAACAUCUACGGAUCAAAUGCGAAAGCAGCUUGAGGAGGUGGUCGCGGCCGAUUAGCUAGUUGGUGAGGUAAUGGCCCACCAAGGCAAUUAUCGGUAGCCGGCCUGAGAGGGCGCACGGCCACACUGGAACUGAAACACUGUCCAGACUCCUACGGGAGGCAGCAGUGGGGAAUUUUGCGCAAUGGGGGUAACCCUGACGCAGCAACGCCGCGUGGAGGAUGAAGCCCCUUGGGGUGUAUACUCCUUUCGAUCGGGACGAUUAUGACGGUACCGGAUGAAGAAGCACCGUCUAACUCUGUGCCAGCAGCCGCGGUAAUU